UAAUUGGAAGCAGCGCUACGCUUAAGCAAAAUAGCGCAUGAAAAAACCGCCCGGCUCGGGCGGUUUUUUCAUGCGCUUAUUGGCAGA
rnacentral:sRNA from 1 species